rnacentral:lncRNA from 1 species
CGGCGGUGCUGGGCCAGGGGAAGGAAGGGACACGGAGGCCGCCCUCGCCCCGCCACCUCCUACCAGCUUCCCCCCAGCCCCGGCUCCGGGAGAUGUGCCGGGCGGGGGGCCCGGGUUCGCCGAGCCGCAGGAGAGACACGCUGGGCCGACCCCAGAGCGGCGCUGGACAGCUUGUCAGCUCAUUUGCAGCUUACAUUUUUGGUUUCUUCCACAAAAAUGAUAAGCCAUCACCAAACUCAGAAAAUGAACAAAAUUCUGUUACCCUGGAAGUCCUGCUUGUGAAAGUUUGCCACAAAAAAAGAAAGGAUGUAUGUUGUCCAAUAAGGCAAGUUCCCACAGGUAAAAAGCAGGUGCCUUUGAAUCCUGACCUCAAUCAAACAAAACCUGGAAAUUUCCCGUCCCUUGCAGUUUCCAGUAAUGAAUUUGAACCUAGUAACAGCCACAUGGUGAAGUCUUACUCGUUGCUAUUUAGAGUGACUCGUCCAAGAAGAAGAGAGUUUAAUGGAAUGAUUAAUGGAGAAACCAUGAAAAUAUUGAUGUCAGUGAAGAGCUUCCAGCCAGAAGAAAAUGAAAUCGUGAGGAUGGGGAAAAGACAUUUGUUGCACAAAUGACAGUAUUUGAUAAAAACAGGCGCUUACAGCUUUUAGAUGGGGAAUAUGAAGUAGCCAUGCAGGAAAUGGAAGAAUGUCCAAUAAGCAAGAAAAGAGCAACAUGGGAGACUAUUCUUGAUGGGAAGCUAUGGACUACUUAGAAGGUUGAGCACAUUAUAGUUAUGAACUCCCAUUUUUGAUUGAUGUUUUCUUCCCCAAAUGCUAAUUCAUGUUGGAAGUAGAGGCCUUUGUUUUUUAUACUUUAAAAAACACAAGUAAAUGAUCUAGUCAGAGCAUUUAACGGAAGGUAUCAUUCCUUUUUUUUUUUUUUUUUUGAGGGGGAGUCUUGCUCUGUUUCCCAGGCUGGAGUGCAGUGGCAUGCUCUCAGCUCACUGCAACUUCCACCUCCCGGGUUCAAGCGAUUCUCCUGUCUCAGCCUCCCGAGCAGCUGUGAUUACAGGUGCGUGCCACCACGCCUGGCUAAUUUGUUUUAUUUUCAGUAGAGACGGGGUUUGACCAUGUUGGCCGGGCUAGUCUGGAACUCCUGACCUUGUGAUCCGCCCACCUUGACCUCCCAAAGCGCUGGGAUUACAGGCAUGAGCCACUGCACCCGGCCACACGGAAGGCAUCAUACUUUGAGAGCCAGACUGCCUGAUUGAAAUCUCUGCUCCUAGCUAUGUGGCAUUUGGCAAGUUAUUUAUCCAUGUCUCAGUUUCUUCACCUGUAACAUG